GCCAGUCAAAUGGCAUUCAAGUCAAGCAAAUUAAUUAAAGCUACAGGUCAUGCUAUAAUUUAGCUUUUUAGUAGCUAAGCCAAAUAUGUCGUCUUGUCACUGAUGGAUGACUAGCUAGCACAAGUUUAAUUUUGGCUGACUGCCACAGUUUUGACGUGCAGUUUACAUUCUCAGCUACCUUGGUAGCCGGUUACUAGUCACACGAUAGAGCCAGUAACGGUAACACCAACGUUAUAGCCAGGUAGCAACGUGUUAAAUUAGUUAGACAGCCCGCUAAUCUCCCCAAAGCCGAAGUUUAAUGUGAGCGAAUUCAACUAACUUAAUGAGAGUGACGUUAGCAAAUUAGCCACUUAGUUAACACUAGACUAACCCAUUUUGUUAGAACAAUCGCCAACUACUAGCCGAGCAAAGGAGAAAUAUUUGAUCAGACACACUCUUCAGGAGGCAGGCAUGGAUGUAUCAGUGACUACUAUCUGCAGAAGACUACAAAAACAGAACUACAGAGGCUAGACAGCAGGAUGCAAACGUGAUGACCAGGUUACGAUCUGCUAAGAAGUACCUAAAAAGCCUGCAUAGUUCUGGGAAAAGGUCUUGUGGACAGAUGAGACCAAGAUGCACUUUCAUCAGAGUGAUUGCAAGAGCAAAGUCCAAGCUCCAAAGCCCCGCCCCCCCCGCCCCUCAUCUGUGAAACUUUCCCUUCAUUUCUGUCUCUCCUGAAAUGUGAAAUAUACUCCAGAAUCCAUAAUGAGUUGUCCAAUAAUGUCAGCAUAUUA